UUAAUAGAAUUUAAGUCCUGUACUUAAAUUCAGUUAUCACGGUGCGCUGUACUAUUACAUUGGUUGGUUAUUAGUGAGUUUAAGAAAACUCAAAUUUCAUUGGUGGUUAGUGAACCAUACAAUUUGACGUCACGAUCCUUUUUUAAUUCGGGUCCAACAGGAGAGGCUGCUUAAAUAACUUAUCAGAGGAAAAUUUUAUUCAAAAUAAUUGUCAGGGAGUAUUUUAUGUUAUAUUAUAUUUUUUGAAAGGAAUUGUUAUAGCUGUACGCACAUUUAACGAGGAGUCGUGCAAUAAAAAAGACAAAUAUUGACGUUAAUUAUCCAAAAAUUAGGGAUACAUGUAACUGACUUACAGAAGCAC
rnacentral:lncRNA from 1 species